rnacentral:rRNA from 1 species
CAGUCGCCACGGGAAUACGAAGGGUGCAAGCGUUAAUCGGAAUUACUGGGCGUAAAGCGUGCGUAGGCGGUGAGUUAAGUCUGCUGUGAAAUCCCCGGGCUCAACCUGGGAAUGGCAGUGGAUACUGGCUCGCUAGAGUGUGUCAGAGGAUGGUGGAAUUCCCGGUGUAGCGGUGAAAUGCGUAGAGAUCGGGAGGAACAUCAGUGGCGAAGGCGGCCAUCUGGGACAACACUGACGCUGAGGCACGAAAGCGUGGGGAGCAAACAGGAUUAGAUACCCGGUAGUCCCUGUCUCUUAUACA